UACAUGCAAGUCGAGCGAACAGACGAGGAGCUUGCUCCUCUGACGUUAGCGGCGGACGGGUGAGUAACACGUGGAUAACCUACCUAUAAGACUGGGAUAACUUCGGGAAACCGGAGCUAAUACCGGAUAAUAUAUUGAACCGCAUGGUUCAAUAGUGAAAGACGGUUUUGCUGUCACUUAUAGAUGGAUCCGCGCCGCAUUAGCUAGUUGGUAAGGUAACGGCUUACCAAGGCGACGAUGCGUAGCCGACCUGAGAGGGUGAUCGGCCACACUGGAACUGAGACACGGUCCAGACUCCUACUGGAGGCAGCAGUAGGGAAUCUUCCGCAAUGGGCGAAAGCCUGACGGAGCAACGCCGCGUGAGUGAUGAAGGUCUUCGGAUCGUAAAACUCUGUUAUUAGGGAAGAACAAAUAUGUAAGUAACUAUGCACGUCUUGACGGUACCUAAUCAGAAAGCCACGGCUAACUACGUGCCAGCAGCCGCGGUAAUACGUAGGUGGCAAGCGUUAUCCGGAAUUAUUGGGCGUAAAGCGCGCGUAGGCGGUUUUUUAAGUCUGAUGUGAAAGCCCACGGCUCAACCGUGGAGGGUCAUUGGAAACUGGAAAACUUGAGUGCAGAAGAGGAAAGUGGAAUUCCAUGUGUAGCGGUGAAAUGCGCAGAGAUAUGGAGGAACACCAGUGGCGAAGGCGACUUUCUGGUCUGUAACUGACGCUGAUGUGCGAAAGCGUGGGGAUCAAACAGGAUUAGAUACCCUGGUAGUCCACGCCGUAAACGAUGAGUGCUAAGUGUUAGGGGGUUUCCGCCCCUUAGUGCUGCAGCUAACGCAUUAAGCACUCCGCCUGGG
rnacentral:rRNA from 1 species